AAACCAAUCCAGCCUCGUGCUUGGGUCUUGGGCCUUUGCUUCGGCGGCCUAAAUCAGUGGCGGUGCCGGCUGGCUCUAAGCGUAGUAAUACUCCUCGCUAUAGACGUCCGCCGGUAGCUUGCCAACAACCCCCAAUUUUAUAAGG
rnacentral:rRNA from 1 species